AUAAAGAGCGAGGAGCGAGCGAGCAGGGCAGGUCGGCGGCAGCGGCGCAGCAAUGCCUAAAUCAAAGGAACUUGUUUCUUCAAGCUCUUCUGGCAGCGAUUCUGACAGUGAAGUUGACAAAAAGUUAAAGAGGAAAAAGCAAGUUGCUUCAGAAAAGCCUGUAAAGAAGCAAAAGACCGGUGAGACUUCAAGAGCCCUGUCGUCUUCUAAACAGAGCAGCAGCAGCAGGGAUGACAACAUGUUCCAGAUUGGGAAAAUGAGGUACGUCAGCGUACGGGACUUUAAAGGAAAAGUCCUAAUUGAUAUUAGAGAAUAUUGGAUGGAUCAAGAAGGUGAAAUGAAACCAGGAAGAAAAGGUAUUUCCUUAAACCCUGAGCAAUGGAGCCAGCUGAAGGAACAGAUUUCUGACAUUGACGAUGCAGUGAGAAAACUAAAAUCUGAGCCAUAUAAACCUGUACUGUCCUAGUUGUUUUAACCUGUCUUUUUACAUUGGCUUUGUUUUUUAAAUGUUGUUUUGCAGGCUAUUGU